AUUGAACGCUGGCGGCAGGCCUAACACAUGCAAGUCGAGCGGAUGAAGGGAGCUUGCUCCUGGAUUCAGCGGCGGACGGGUGAGUAAUGCCUAGGAAUCUGCCUGGUAGUGGGGGAUAACGUCCGGAAACGGGCGCUAAUACCGCAUACGUCCUGAGGGAGAAAGUGGGGGAUCUUCGGACCUCACGCUAUCAGAUGAGCCUAGGUCGGAUUAGCUAGUUGGUGGGGUAAAGGCCUACCAAGGCGACGAUCCGUAACUGGUCUGAGAGGAUGAUCAGUCACACUGGAGCUGAGACACGGUCCAGACUCCUACGGGAGGCCGCAGUGGGGAAUGUUGGACAAUGGGCGGAAGCCUGCUCCAGCCGUGCCGCGUGUGUGAAGAAGGUCUUCGGAUUGUAAAGCACUUUAAGUUGUGAGGAAGGGCAGUAAGUUAAUACCUUGCUGUUUUGACGUUACCAACAGAAUAAGCACCGGCUAACUUCGUG
rnacentral:rRNA from 1 species